rnacentral:rRNA from 1 species
GCUUAUGCGUUGUUGGGUAGGGGAGCGUUCUGUAAGCCUGCGAAGGUGUGCUGUGAGGCAUGCUGGAGGUAUCAGAAGUGCGAAUGCUGACAUAAGUAACGAUAAAGCGGGUGAAAAGCCCGCUCGCCGGAAGACCAAGGGUUCCUGUCCAACGUUAAUCGGGGCAGGGUGAGUCGACCCCUAAGGCGAGGCCGAAAGGCGUAGUCGAUGGGAAACAGGUUAAUAUUCCUGUACUUGGUGUUACUGCGAAGGGGGGACGGAGAAGGCUAUGUUGGCCGGGCGACGGUUGUCCCGGUUUAAGCGUGUAGGCUGGUUUUCCAGGCAAAUCCGGAAAAUCAAGGCUGAGGCGUGAUGACGAGGCACUACGGUGCUGAAGCAACAAAUGCCCUGCUUCCAGGAAAAGCCUCUAAGCAUCAGGUAACAUCAAAUCGUACCCCAAACCGACACAGGUGGUCAGGUAGAGAAUACCAAGGCGCUUGAGAGAACUCGGGUGAAGGAACUAGGCAAAAUGGUGCCGUAACUUCGGGAGAAGGCACGCUGAUAUGUAGGUGAAGUCCCUUGCGGAUGGAGCUGAAAUCAGUCGAAGAUACCAGCUGGCUGCAACUGUUUAUUAAAAACACAGCACUGUGCAAACACGAAAGUGGACGUAUACGGUGUGACGCCUGCCCGGUGCCGGAAGGUUAAUUGAUGGGGUCAGCGCAAGCGAAGCUCUUGAUCGAAGCCCCGGUAAACGGCGGCCGUAACUAUAACGGUCCUAAGGUAGCGAAAUUCCUUGUCGGGUAAGUUCCGACCUGCACGAAUGGCGUAAUGAUGGCCAGGCUGUCUCCACCCGAGACUCAGUGAAAUUGAACUCGCUGUGAAGAUGCAGUGUACCCGCGGCAAGACGGAAAGACCCCGUGAACCUUUACUAUAGCUUGACACUGAACAUUGAGCCUUGAUGUGUAGGAUAGGUGGGAGGCUUUGAAGUGUGGACGCCAGUCUGCAUGGAGCCGGCCUUGAAAUACCACCCUUUAAUGUUUGAUGUUCUAACGUGGACCCGUGAUCCGGGUUGCGGACAGUGUCUGGUGGGUAGUUUGACUGGGGCGGUCUCCUCCUAAAGAGUAACGGAGGAGCACGAAGGUUGGCUAAUCCUGGUCGGACAUCAGGAGGUUAGUGCAAUGGCAUAAGCCAGCUUGACUGCGAGCGUGACGGCGCGAGCAGGUGCGAAAGCAGGUCAUAGUGAUCCGGUGGUUCUGAAUGGAAGGGCCAUCGCUCAACGGAUAAAAGGUACUCCGGGGAUAACAGGCUGAUACCGCCCAAGAGUUCAUAUCGACGGCGGUGUUUGGCACCUCGAUGUCGGCUCAUCACAUCCUGGGGCUGAAGUAGGUCCCAAGGGUAUGGCUGUUCGCCAUUUAAAGUGGUACGCGAGCUGGGUUUAGAACGUCGUGAGACAGUUCGGUCCCUAUCUGCCGUGGGCGCUGGAGAACUGAGGGGGGCUGCUCCUAGUACGAGAGGACCGGAGUGGACGCAUCACUGGUGUUCGGGUUGUCAUGCCAAUGGCACUGCCCGGUAGCUAAAUGCGGAAGAGAUAAGUGCUGAAAGCAUCUAAGCACGAAACUUGCCCCGAGAUGAGUUCUCCCUGACCCUUUAAGGGUCCUGAAGGAACGUUGAAGACGACGACGUUGAUAGGCCGGGUGUGUAAGCGCAGCGAUGCGUUGAGCUAACCGGUACUAAUGAACCGUGAGGCUUAACCUUACAACGCCGAAG